rnacentral:lncRNA from 1 species
GUAAUUAAAGAUUAGGAUUACAUGAUUUACGAUUGAAAUUCCUUGUUUUCUAUCAAACGCAAAGUUGUACUGAAAUAUUUCAAAAUUAAUAUCAUAAUUCGUUUAAGAAAGUAUUCUCAUUGAUCAAAGUAAAUAAAAGAAAUUUUGUCUACUGUCAUGUUAAUUUUCUUUGAUUGCUUUUCCUGAUAGAAUUAUCUAAACAUCGAAAAAAAAGAAAAAGAAAUGGUAGAAAUGAUGUUUGAGUGUGCAUGCGCCGUACGAAAAAUAACAUCAUGGCGGCUAUGUAAGAGACCAACUCUAAGGCUUCCCUUUUGUAUAAAUAACUCCCCCACCCUAUCUAUGUAUAAGGGGAAGAUAAGUAGAAGUAUUAGGACUCCAUCUAUAUCUGAGUUUCCUACAGGAACAAAGAAACUCAGUUCCGUUCGAACCUCUUGGCGAAUGACUAUCGAUUUUUUCCUAGUAAAUGUAGGCUUGGAAAAGUGUUACAAAGUGAAUUUCACAGUUACAAGUCAGACGAAAAACGGUCAACAUUUUUCUGAAAAUCGUUUCACUUUACAACAUAUCUUUUGCAAGUGCAUUUAAGAUAAAUUUACUUAAACGGAACAAUGGGAUAAGAAUUUGUGAUCAAUAUGACAGCACAGUUGUUGCCAUGUGAAAAAAAGAGGGGCAUCAGAUUGGUUUCCACAAAGGUGGAAAACGUGUGGAAAAAUUAACAAGGAAAAUGAUUAAGAACUGGAACAUAUAUCAUGGAUCGAUUAUGCAGAUAAGUUUUAAACUGGUUGAAACUAUGAAAGAUAUCUAGAUGGAUAAAUUACUAUAGUUCCUCGAAUGAAAAUCCACAGCAUUAUUUUGGUCCAUAUGGUACCAAAGUCAAUAUAUAAUAUUUUGGAAAUAUGUCUCGGAUCCAACACUCAAAACAAUCAAAGUCUGAUUACUUGAACAUAGAAAUUUGAAGUAAGCAGUACAUUAUAUUGUGGUAAUAAAACUAUUGAAAUUGCAACGUAUUUAAAACUCAGUGCAUUUUCAUUAAAGGAUUUAUAUCUACGAUGGAGCAAUAAGAAUGGAGAAGAAGAAAAUGAAACUUUCUCGUUAAUCUGAAAGAGGGAUGAGGAGAAUAGUAUUGGCCGUUUGAAAAAUGAAGAUGAAAGAAUAGGAAUAUUGAUUUUAUCGGCCUUUGAUAUUCUUUUAAAACUCUGAAUGCGUUUUUUUUCAAAACUCAUGUUCAUGAAUUGGCACCCUUGAUAACUUAAAAAAUGAUUGAUUGAUUAAUUUCUAAUAGGAACUCAUUUCAUUUGCAAUUAACUUCUUCCUCAUUUGACCUACUAAAACAAAAAUCAACAAAUACUUCCUAUUUUCUGAAAAAAUAAGAGAAAAAUAAAAUAAUUUUGAACAUUUGAUUAAAAUAAAUGCAAGGAACAUCGUCAAUUUAUAUACAUUUGGCAACAUGACCUUCAAAUAGACGUCAUUUCUACCAUUCCAAAAUUUGGACAAAUGCCCUAUUAUUAUAUGUAAUAUUUACUUACUUUAAAGGUCAAUAAAUAUGAUAGCCCAAUUCAAA